rnacentral:rRNA from 1 species
GCUUACAGCCUUGUCUGCUCUCGGAAACUAAGCAGGGUCGGGCCUGCUUAGUACUUGGAUGGGAGACCGCCUGGGAAUACCAGGUGCUGUAAGCU